GCUUACCGGUCACACUACCCUGAGAAACGCCCGAUCUGUCUGAUUCGGAAGCUAAGCGGGCGUUUGGCCUGGUUAGACUUGGACGGGAGACCACCUGGGAUACAAGGUGCUGUAAGCU
ensembl:rRNA 5S_rRNA 5S ribosomal RNA